rnacentral:misc_RNA from 1 species
UCCGACUUUCAUCGGCAGUCUCGCCAGAGUGCCCACCCGAAGUGCUGGCAACUGGCGACAAGGGUUGCGCUCGUUGCGGGACUGAACCCAACAUCUCACGACACGAGCUGACGACAACCAUGCACCACCUGUCACCGCUGUCCCCGAAGGGAAGGGUACAUCUCUGCACCGGUCAGCGGGAUGUCAAGCCCUGGUAAGGUUCUUCGCGUUGCUUCGAAUUAAACCACAUGCUCCACCGCUUGUGCGGGCCCCCGUCAAUUCCUUUGAGUUUCAGCCUUGCGGCCGUACUCCCCAGGCGGAGUGCUUAAUGGGUUACCUUCGGCACUGAGGACGUCAAAAGUCCCCAACACCUAGCACUCAUCGUUUACGGCGUGGACUAC